UCGGAGCAUCUCUAAUGCUUACUUCUCUUAUAUUUCGUCCCAACAAAUCUCUGGUCCAAGAUAGAGUUUAGUUGGUGCUACUUAUUCUAUAGAAGUGGAAUGCAGAUAAUAUGUAAUCUGUAGUCCAAAUGUGUACUAGGUUACUCAUGAAGAAAUAUGAAAAUUGAAUUUCUAAAAAGGUGUUAGAAUCGAGAAUCCCGGAUAGUGCGGAAUUAAAUAAAGUAAUCAACUAAAGACAAUAACAAAGACGAUAAUUACGAUAAGUUGAGAAAAUAAAAGAGGCAUAACUUUAACGUGGUUCGGUCAACUUGACCUACGUCCACAAUCAAAAGAAGGAGCAACUUUACUAAACACCAACGGAACAAAAGAGAGUACAAAGACACAAAAGAGAGUACAAAAUUAGAGUAAUUAAACACUCUUAUAUCCCAAAUACCCAAAAGAAUAACCUCACAAAUAUCACUCAAAAUAUUUCCCAACACAACUCUUUCACAAAUACUAAGAAAACAAACACAAUUAAAUCGUAUCAAAUGUUGGUGUUCUUCUCAAAAUGGUGUGUUAUGAAUGAGGAAGAAGGUCCCUAUUUAUAGAGAUAAAAUGAGCUUAUUGAUGUCAUCCAUGAUGUUAAUGGAAGAUGUAAAUUUCAACAUUUGCAUUUGGAUGAAAGGAAUUUAUAACAAAAUCUUUGAUAGCAACUUUGUUUGACCAACAAAUAAUCUUUCAAAAGUCUUUGGUAGCAUCUUUGUUUGAUAAAUCCAAAAAUAAUAUUCCAAAAGUCUUUGAUAGGCUUUUACCAAAUGUGAACAAAAGAAAAAAACAAAGGCCACAUUACAAAAUGAGAUGCAUUCCCUUCUCAACUCUUGGUUCAAGCUUGUUUAGAUAUAGCAAAUGUAUUUGAUGUCUGUGUCCAGUUAAUGGUGCAGGACAGUCUUUAAACUAUGUCUGAUCAGAUAUUAAGUCUUGCUCCUUCUACCAAAAGGAAAAAAGUACAAGAAACAAACUAGAAAAAAUAAACUAAUACUGCAUAUACUAAAAGUAAGAUGCUGUAGCGGCAGAAUUUUAUAGAAGGCAUCAUACAUUUAUGCCCUCCAAAUUUGGAUAUGCAUAAGUAUGCACUUAAACUUGUAUAAAGUUAAAUAAGUAGAUAAACGCGCCCUUCGUGGCAUAAUAUAAAUUAUUUUAAGUGUAUUUCACACGAAUUUUCAUGUAGGACACAUGUAUCUAUUGGUCCAACUUUACACAAGUUUAAAUGUUUACUUGUGUAUUUAAUGUUGGAGGGUAUAGAUGCCCGUUAAGGCCAAAUUAAAAGGCAUGUUUAUGUAUUAUGCCUCUAUAGAAUGGCAUGGAGGAUGCUGUGUCUGGGCUAUAUGGGAAGUAUUAAAAAAUAAGAAUAACUUGGUUUUGCGUUGAGGUUUGUUAGACCUGCAGAUUCUGUUAGCUAAUAAAGAAGCAACAGAAGAUUUGGUUGUGGAACAUCUACAACUUGACGGCCAUUCAAAUGGGACCUAGAAUUCUAUAUCAGCUUUGAGGUUCUUCAACAGUAGGCUUUUCGGUUUUGGUAGUGAGAGAAUGGCAGCCCUAAGAGAUGAGCUUCACCUUCAUGAUAUUUUGAUUUCUUCCAUUGAAAAUACUUAGCACCUUCUUAUGACUUCCUCGUUCAACGGAGAAAUGUAUGUUUCAUUUUCACAACACCCUUUUCCCUUCGCCCAUCUUCCAACCCCAGUAACUAGAAUGAAGAUCUUACUUUAUGCUGAGCUACUUGUUAUACUUCAUUUAUAUGUGGAAAUGCCUCAUAUUAUAACAAUCCAGAUUAGAAUCCAAUAAUCCAAGCUCUAAGUUGAAUGAGGACUAAGUGGAGAUUACUGCUGCUAAGAGCUUACUCUAGAUUUGUUGCACAAAGAUCAUUUCCCUUGUUCUUUUAUUUUUUUAACGAAGGGUACUUUCCUUCCAAC
rnacentral:lncRNA from 1 species